rnacentral:rRNA from 1 species
CCUACGGGAGGCAGCAGUGGGGAAUUUUGGACAAUGGGCGCAAGCCUGAUCCAGCCAUGCCGCGUGAGUGAAGAAGGCCUUCGGGUUGUAAAGCUCUUUCGGCCGGGAAGAAAUCGUGGUCUCUAACAUAGGCCAUGGAUGACGGUACCGGACUAAGAAGCACCGGCUAACUACGUGCCAGCAGCCGCGGUAAU